rnacentral:rRNA from 1 species
UGAGUGCGAAAGCGUGGGGAGCAAACGGGAUUAGAUACCCCGGUAGUCCACGCCGUAAACGAUGUCUACUAGCCGUUGGAGGACUUGAUCCUUUAGUGGCGCAGCUAACGCGAUAAGUAGACCGCCUGGGGAGUACGGUCGCAAGAUUAAAACUCAAAUGAAUUGACGGGGGCCCGCACAAACGGUGGAGCAUGUGGUUUAAUUCGAAGCAACGCGAAGAACCUUACCUACUCUUGACAUCCAGUGAACUUUUGAGAGAUCAAUUGGUGCCUUCGGGAACACUGAGACAGGUGCUGCAUGGCUGUCGUCAGCUCGUGUUGUGAAAUGUUGGGUUAAGUCCCGUAACGAGCGCAACCCUUGUCCUUAGUUACCAUCAUUAAGUUGGGGACUCUAAGGAGACUGCCGGUGACAAACCGGAGGAAGGCGGGGACGACGUCAAGUCAUCAUGGCCCUUACGAGUAGGGCUACACACGUGCUACAAUGGCAUGUACAAAGGGUUGCCAAGCCGCGAGGUGGAGCUAAUCCCAUAAAGCAUGUCGUAGUCCGGAUUGGAGUCUGCAACUCGACUCCAUGAAGUCGGAAUCGCUAGUAAUCGUGAAUCAGAAUGUCACGGUGAAUACGUUCCCGGGCCUUGUACACACCGCCCGUUACACCAUGGGAGUGGGUUGCUCCAGAAGUAGAUAGCUUAACCUUCGGGAGGGCGUUUACCACGGAGUGAUUCAUGACUGGGGUGAAGUCAUAACAAGGUAACCGUA